rnacentral:lncRNA from 1 species
GAUUCCACCGUGACAUAUAUGUUCGCAUGUCUGUAUAACUAACCUGAUUUGCCUCAGAAUUAUACAUCAUCUUCUCUGCUUACAAAAGUUGCUGGUUGGGUCCCCUAACAAUACUGAAACUGGUACUGUAUAAUUCAGUUGACACCAAAUCUCACGAGAAAUCAGAAACCAUAAGAUUUCUCAGCCCUGUAGGUCCCCUAACAAAACUGAAACUGGUACUGUAUAAUUCAGCUGACACCAAAUCUCAUGAGAAAUCAGAAACCGUAAGAUUUCUCAGCCCUGUAGGCCUCUGCUGC